rnacentral:rRNA from 1 species
AGCGAACGCUGGCGGCGUGCCUAACACAUGCAAGUCGAACGUGAAAGGGAGCAAUCCCAAGUAAAGUGGCGUACGGGUGAGUAACACGUAGGUAAUCUACCCCAGAAUCUGGAAUAACCGGCCGAAAGGCUGGCUAAUACUGGAUAGAGCGACGGAAUCCGUAAUUGGGUUUUUCGGGAAAGGGAGCCUGUAAAAAGGCCUUCGUUCUGGGAUGAGCCUGCGUCCCAUCAGCUAGUUGGUGAGGUAAAAGCUUACCAAGGCAAUGACGGGUAGCUGGUCUGAGAGGACGAUCAGCCACACUGGGACUGGAACACGGUCCCGACUCCUACGGGAGGCAGCAGUGGGGAAUCUUGCGCAAUGGACGAAAGUCUGACGCAGCAACGCCGCGUGAGUGCAGAAGGCCUUCGGGUUGUAAAGCUCUGUCGAGUGGGACGAAAAUGCUUGGAGUUCACAGCUCCAGGAACUGACGGUACCACUAAAGGAAGCACCGGCUAACUCCGUG